UACGAAGGGGGCUAGCGUUGCUCGGAAUUACUGGGCGUAAAGCGCACGUAGGCGGCUUUCUAAGUCGGGGGUGAAAUCCUGGAGCUCAACUCCAGAACUGCCUUCGAUACUGGAGAGCUCGAGUCCGGGAGAGGUGAGUGGAACUGCGAGUGUAGAGUUGAAAUUCGUAGAUAUUCGCAAGAACACCAGUGGCGAAGGCGGCUCACUGGCCCGGUACUGACGCUGAGGUGCGAAAGCGUGGGGAGCAAACAGG
rnacentral:rRNA from 1 species